rnacentral:tRNA from 1 species
UGUGGAUAUAAGCUAAUAAAGCUGCGAGAUUCAUACUCUUGAUAUUUUUCCAUAU